GGUUCUUUAACUUUUUCUGGUGCCUAACUCAGGCUUAAUAGGGAAUCCUGUGCAAAUCAGGAGCGGUCCCGCCGCCGUGAGCCCUAAGAAAACCUAAACUUCCUGGUGUGCCACUGCCUAAAAAGGUGGGAAGGCCGAAGUUUAGGGGGGUGAGCCGGAAGACCUGCCAGAAAAAGUCUGGACCG
rnacentral:ncRNA from 2 species